AGUGAACGCUGGCGGUAGGCCUAACACAUGCAAGUCGAACGGCAGCACAUUAAUAGCUUGCUCUUACGGGUGGCGAGUGGCGGACGGGUGAGGAAUACAUCGGAAUCUACUUUUUCGUGGGGGAUAACGUAGGGAAACUUACGCUAAUACCGCAUACGACCUACGGGUGAAAGCAGGGGAUCUUCGGACCUUGCGCGAUUGAAUGAGCCGAUGUCGGAUUAGAUAGUUGGCGGGGUAAAGGCCCACCAAGGCGACGAUCCGUAGCUGGGCAGAGAGGAUGACAGGAGACACUGGGACAGAGAGACGGGCCAGACUCCUACGGGAGGCAGCAGUGGGGAAUAUUGGAAAAUGGGAGCAAGCAUGAUCCAGCCAUACCGCGUGGGUGAAGAAGGCCUUCGGGUUGUAAAGCCCAUUUGUUGGGAAAGAAAAGCAGCAGGUUAAUAACCAGCUGUUCUGACGGUACCUAAAGAAUAAGCACCGGCUAACUUCGUG
rnacentral:rRNA from 1 species